UACGAAGGGGGCUAGCGUUGUUCGGAAUACUGGGCGUAAAGCGCACGUAGGCGGAUAUUUAAGUCAGGGGUGAAAUCCCGGGGCUCAACCCCGGAACUGCCUUUGGAUACUGGGGUAUCUCGAGUCCGAGAGAGGUGAGUGGAAUUCCGAGUGUAGAGGUGAAAUUCGUAGAUAUUCGGAGGAACACCAGUGGCGAAGGCGCUCGCUGGACAAGUAUUGACGCUGAGGUGCG
rnacentral:rRNA from 1 species